CCUACGGGAGGCAGCAGUGGGGAAUAUUGCACAAUGGGCGCAAGCCUGAUGCAGCGACGCCGCGUGAGGGAUGACGGCCUUCGGGUUGUAAACCUCUUUCAGUAGGGAAGAAGCGAAAGUGACGGUACCUGCAGAAGAAGCGCCGGCUAACUACGUGCCAGCAGCCGCGGUAAUACGUAGGGCGCAAGCGUUAUCCGGAAUUAUUGGGCGUAAAGAGCUCGUAGGCGGUUUGUCGCGUCUGCUGUGAAAGACCGGGGCUCAACUCCGGUUCUGCAGUGGGUACGGGCAGACUAGAGUGCAGUAGGGGAGACUGGAAUUCCUGGUGUAGCGGUGAAAUGCGCAGAUAUCAGGAGGAACACCGAUGGCGAAGGCAGGUCUCUGGGCUGUAACUGACGCUGAGGAGCGAAAGCAUGGGGAGCGAACAGGAUUAGAUACCCUGGUAGUCCAUGCCGUAAACGUUGGGCACUAGGUGUGGGGGACAUUCCACGUUUUCCGCGCCGUAGCUAACGCAUUAAGUGCCCGCCUGGGGAGUACGGCCGCAAGGCAAAACUCAAAUGAAUUGACGGCUGAGCGNGCGAGACGACGACGAGGAGAGG
rnacentral:rRNA from 1 species